rnacentral:sRNA from 1 species
UGUAGAAAUAUCUUCGUCUUAGCUGGUCC